rnacentral:rRNA from 1 species
UACGUGGUUGAUCCUGCCCGUACCCAUAUGCUUGUCUCAAAGAUUAAGCCAUGCAUGUCUAAGUAUACUCCAAUUAUACUGUGAAACUGCGAAUGGCUCAUUAAAUCAGUUAUACUUUAUUUGAUGUUUCUUGCUACAUGGAUCACUGUGGUAAUUCUAGACGCUAAUACAUGCUUAAAAAGCCCCGCACUUCUGGAAGGGGUGUAUUUAUUAGAUAAAAACCAUCCUCCUAGGAGUUAGGUGAUUCAUAAUAACUUCUCGAAUCGCACGGCCUUGUGCUGGCGAAGCUUCAUUCCAAUAUCUGCCCUAUCAUACUGUCGAUGGUAGGAUACAGGCCUACAAUGGUUGCAACUGGUAACGGGGAAUAAGGGUUCAAUUCCGGAGAGGGAGCCUGAGAAACGAGCUACCACAUCCAAGGAAGGCAGACAGGCGCGCCAAUUACCCAAUCCCGACACGGGGAGGUAGUGACAAUAAAUAACAAUGCAUGGCCCUUUUGGGUCUUGUAAUUGGAAUGAGUACAAUUUACAUCCCUUAACCAGGAACGAUU